rnacentral:rRNA from 1 species
AUGAGGAAGGCCACGGGUGGGGAUCUUGUGAGACCAGCAGCCACUCGUUUUGCCACAGCCAUCCUCACACUUAGGAGUUUGGUCAAGAACAAGGCUGCAUUGAGGAGUUUAUUUACAUCUGAAGAAUGGGUUGGAAACAAGUUAGCAAAAACACAAGUUGGCUUGAAUGUGCAAGAGAUUAUACUUUCAACGGAGUGGUGGAGCGCAAUUGAGGACUGCCUUAGAGCUUCAACUCCACUUCUUAGAGUUCUUAGAGUAGCAGAUGGUGAUGAGAAGCCUGCCAUGCUAGAGAUUAAAGCACUUAUGAUUUAUGCAAAGGAGAGGAUCAAUCUAGGUUUCCCUCAACAAAACAAGCAACCAUUGCUCAAGAAGAUCUUGGCCAUUGUUGAUAAGCGUUGGGAGAAUCAAAUGGAUCAUCCAUUGUAUGGGGCUGCUCUAUUUUUGAACCCAGGAAAGUUCUUUCCUAUUGUAAGCAGAAAUGAUGAUGCCUUAGUUGGGGAGCUUAGGAGCUGCUUUAAUGAUGUGCUUGCAAAAAUGGUACCGGAUGCCAAUGUUCGAAAAAAGAUUGAUCAACAAUCUGUGCUCUAUGAGCAACAGCGAGAAAGCUUUUCUAAUCCAUUGGCACUCGAGACCAUGAGCACAAGAAACCCUCUUGAUUGGUGGAGUUCAUUUGGUGGUCGGGCCAUUGACCUACAAAGGUUUGCAAAGCGCAUUGUUAGUCUUUGUGCUUCAUCAUCUGGUUGUGAGAGGAAUUGGAGCACGUUUGAAUUUAUCCAUACAAAGAAAAGGAACAUAUUACAAUGGAAAAGGUUGAAUGAUCUUGUCUUUGUUUCAUACAACCGGAAGAAUAUGCAACGGUUUCAAAAGAGGCGUGAGAAGGUGGGCGAGAAUAGCUUUGAGGCUUUGGUCAUUGAGGAUUUUGAUUGGGCCAAUGAGUGGGUGGACCCAUCACUAUCACAACCUCAAGGUGCUCGAGGUUGUCCUGAAGACAAUCAAGACAUUACAUGGGAGGAUGUUGAUGUGGCUAUUGGUGCAUCUUCAAACCUUCGAGGCCGCAAUCUGCAUAGGAUAGCAACUACACUUCGUAGGGGCCAGACAAAUGUCCGUCUGCACUACGCACGCAAGAGACCUACUACAACACGACCUAUAAUUCCGGAAGAAGAUGAGGUAGAGGAGGACUUGGAGCAAGAGCAACACUCAAGUAUGCCCAAUGCGGAGGGGGAGGAUUCAUACUACGUUGAGGAUGAUGAUGAUGUGAGCAAUGACGAUCAAGAGCCAACUAAUGUUGACCAAGAUGGUGAAGACAACACCAAUGCCAAUGAGUUUGAUGAUGAUGACUUUUGA